GAUUCCGUAGCUCAGCUGGUAGAGCAACGGCCUUUUAAGCCGUGGGUCCUGGGUUCGAAUCCCAGCGGGAUCA
rnacentral:tRNA from 2 species